rnacentral:lncRNA from 1 species
CACUGACCGGCCGGAAGCUGCAAUCCGGUCAUCGUCGUUCUCCUUCUCAGCAUCUACAUCCGUGCUAUGCUCCACUUGCUGCUGGAUAUCUCUCAGAAUCUUCUCCUCCUCCAACAUGCCUCUAUCAUCUCCUUUCCCCAUUGGAUGGACCUUGUCCUCAAGGUUGACGGAUGGGAACGCCCUCCUCAGAUGCUCCACCUCUUCCCAAGACGUUUCCGUCUGAUCGCAUCCUGCC